CUUCUUCUAUUUAUACCCUUUUUCUUCAAUCUCUUCCUUCUUCAUCCCAAACCCUAGAUUUUACUUUGAGCUAAUUUUUUCUUUAACUCCUUCAAUUUAUGGUGAACCACUAUCAGUUGAAGCUGCCAGCAUGAUCUUAACUUUUCUCUUCUUCUUCUUCUUCUUCUUCUUCUUCUUCUUCUUCUUCUGCUUCUUCUGCUUCUUUGAGGAAAGAUCAGAUCAUGCGGCAGUUUCACCUGUUGUUGCUUUGCCCUUUUACCAUCUAUCUAUCUCUAAUCCCUAAAAAUUAGCCCUAAUUUCAUUUUAUUCCUCUCCCCCACCCCCCCCCCCCCCAAAAAAAAAUAAAAAAAGAAAACCCUAAUUUUUCUCUUUCAUAUGGUUUCGUUAUUAAGGAAUUAGGGUUUGUGAUUCCUUCAAAGCUUUGAUCAAGGCGGCGGGUUUAUCUUUAAGCUCUUUCCAGCUAGGGCUGAUAUAUAUGGUUUUUUUUUUUAAUUUCUUCAAAUUUUAUUUUAUUGUCAUUAUUGGAUUUUCGUUCGGUCUCAAUUGAAUCAAGAAAGAAAGGUGUUUAUCUGAAGGGAAGAUUUUGAGUGACCCCUAAUUAUUAAGAUUGAUGGAGUUGCAAUUUGUCUGUUUCAUAUUGUUUUUUGGGAUUGAUGCCAUCAAGUAAUUUUUUUCACAUGAUUUCCAUUAUAUCUCUUUUGUUUUCAUCAAGAGAGAGAAAUAAGAAACAAAAAGAGAAAAGAGAGCAUUAACUAUCCUUCUGCAAAAAAAUGGAUGUUAAAGUCACAAUAUAACACCAGUUUUAACGGCUUUUUUUCAAAACAAAAAUCUACACCAAACUUAUAAUUAUUAUUUAGCUAAAUCCGAACAUAGCUUAGUGAAUAAAAACACUCAUUAUUAAUUCUUUGAAAAAUUGUCAGUGUGAUUUAAAAGAAACAUGCUUGUUUUCGCCUUCAAUGUAUUUUAGAAGAUAAGACAGAUGUUUGAUUGGAUUUCAUUACCAGCUUAUUAAUUAAUUAAUUACCUUAAUCCUUUUCAAUCGGUGUCCUAAUCUGUAAUUCCUUCUGUUUAUAAUUUGGGCAUUAAUUGCAUUUUUUUUGGGCUCAACCCUUUUGAACAGUGCUUUUUAAAAAAAAAUAUCUAGAUUAACCCAAUCUUAUUAUGAAUAAACAACUACUAAUUAAUGUACUUACUUCCUUAAUUAUUUUGCAUUAGAUACAUUUUAUUUGAAAUUCUUUGAAUAUUACUAAGAAUUUGAAAACCUCCAACUUCCUUUAACUCUCUAUCGCUCAAUCUUAUUUUUGGUAGGAAUCUGUCAUAACCUUCAACAAGUUUUUUUUUGUUGGUCCAUGCACAGAACUUUCAUAUUUCCAUUAAAAGCCACAUAACUACAAAACAACUUUAACACUUAAUAAUAAUAAUAAUAUUGAAGAAGAUGGAAGAUAGUUAUAUAUAGUGAUCAUGUGGAAGGGAAGAAAAGGUUUUUUACAUUCCAUUUUCAGGCUGCCUAGGAAAAGUAGCCCUCUGAAGAAAAGAAUACCCAAAUCAGCUUCAGAAAAAAUCACUUAUUUUCCUUUCCCAUAAGGUUUUUUUCGUAUCCUUUUUUUUCUCUCUGGGGUUUUCACAAAAUAAAGAGCGUUAUUGACUGAUGAAUAGUGUGUGAGCAGGGCAAGAAUCCUUUUCUUCUACCAGUUUGAUACUGUUUAUGGAAUACCAUGAUUCAUAAUGUAUAUGUAUGAUAUUAAAUUUUGAUAUUGACAUGAAUAUAAAUAUUUUUAUUAUAUUGUAAAAAUAAAAUGUAAUUUUAAAGUUUA